rnacentral:rRNA from 1 species
GGGGGAAUUUUCGNAAGGGGCAAACCCCUGGGGGGACAAAACCGUUGGAGGGACGAGGGCCGGUGGGUUGUAAACCUUUUUUGUUAGGGGAGGUAAUGACGGUACCUGACGAAUAAGCAUCGGCUAACUCCGUGCCAGCAGCCGCGGUAAGACGGAGGAUGCAAGCGUUAUCCCGAAUUAUUGGGCGUAAAGCGUACGUAGGCUGUUUGAUAAGUCUGUUGUCAAAGCCCGAGGCUCAACCUUGGAUCGGCAAUGGAAACUGUGAGACUAGAGAGNGAUAGCAGGAGGAAUCCAGGUGUAGCGGUAAAGCCUGUUUAAGAAAACCCCGGGGAACAAGGGAUUAGGACCCCAGU